rnacentral:rRNA from 1 species
UACGUAGGGGGCAAGCGUUGUCCGGAAUUAUUGGGCGUAAAGAGCGUGUAGGCGGCCAGAUAAGUCCGCUGUGAAAUCUCGAGGCUCAACUUCGAGCUGUCGGUGGAAACUGUCUGGCUAGAGUCCGGAAGAGGAGAAUGGAAUUCCUGGUGCAGCGGUGAAAUGCGCAGAUAUCAGGAGGAACACCGGUGGCGAAGGCGGUUCUCUGGGAAUGUCCUGACGCUGAGGAGCGAAAGUGUGGGGGAGCGAACAGG